GUGUGUUCCAGGUAAAUCCGGUUCACUUUAACACUGAGGCGUGACGACGAGGCACUACGGUGCUGAAGCAACAAAUGCCCUGCUUCCAGGAAAAGCCUCUAAGCAUCAGGUAACAUCAAAUCGUACCCCAAACCGACACAGGUGGUCAGGUAGAGAAUACCAAGGCGCUUGAGAGAACUCGGGUGAAGGAACUAGGCAAAAUGGUGCCGUAACUUCGGGAGAAGGCACGCUGACACGUAGGUGAAGUGAUUUACUCAUGGAGCUGAAGUCAGUCGAAGAUACCAGCUGGCUGCAACUGUUUAUUAAAAACACAGCACUGUGCAAACACGAAAGUGGACGUAUACGGUGUGACGCCUGCCCGGUGCCGGAAGGUUAAUUGAUGGGGUCAGCGCAAGCGAAGCUCCUGAUCGAAGCCCCGGUAAACGGCGGCCGUAACUAUAACGGUCCUAAGGUAGCGAAAUUCCUUGUCGGGUAAGUUCCGACCUGCACGAAUGGCGUAAUGAUGGCCAGGCUGUCUCCACCCGAGACUCAGUGAAAUUGAACUCGCUGUGAAGAUGCAGUGUACCCGCGGCAAGACGGAAAGACCCCGUGAACCUUUACUAUAGCUUGACACUGAACAUUGAGCCUUGAUGUGUAGGAUAGGUGGGAGGCUUUGAAGCGUGGACGCCAGUCUGCGUGGAGCCGACCUUGAAAUACCACCCUUUAAUGUUUGAUGUUCUAACGUGGACCCGUGAUCCGGGUUGCGGACAGUGUCUGGUGGGUAGUUUGACUGGGGCGGUCUCCUCCUAAAGAGUAACGGAGGAGCACGAAGGUUGGCUAAUCCUGGUCGGACAUCAGGAGGUUAGUGCAAUGGCAUAAGCCAGCUUGACUGCGAGCGUGACGGCGCGAGCAGGUGCGAAAGCAGGUCAUAGUGAUCCGGUGGUUCUGAAUGGAAGGGCCAUCGCUCAACGGAUAAAAGGUACUCCGGGGAUAACAGGCUGAUACCGCCCAAGAGUUCAUAUCGACGGCGGUGUUUGGCACCUCGAUGUCGGCUCAUCACAUCCUGGGGCUGAAGUAGGUCCCAAGGGUAUGGCUGUUCGCCAUUUAAAGUGGUACGCGAGCUGGGUUUAGAACGUCGUGAGACAGUUCGGUCCCUAUCUGCCGUGGGCGCUGGAGAACUGAGGGGGGCUGCUCCUAGUACGAGAGGACCGGAGUGGACGCAUCACUGGUGUUCGGGUUGUCAUGCC
rnacentral:rRNA from 2 species